AAAGAAAAACACCCGGCACGGGAAACCGGCAAAUUAGGCCAAGCAGAGGAGGCUGCGCUCUGACUGUGGCUGCUCCUCCAGCCCGGCGUCCACAGCCGCGGAAGGGCAGAUGGAGGAGUGGGGAGCGUCCUCGGGGAGCUACAAUGACCACCCUACCGCCGCCUGUACGCUCCAUUCCUCAGCCUAUAGCUCGUGGGCAGGCCGGGGCGGGACGCCAGGACACGGGAGAGGAGGACCGGGAUUGCGGAAGGUGAACUCCGCGGCGAACUGCGCCCAUCUGCACCGCCCCGGCCGCCUGGGGGUCCGCGCGGAGGCUGGACAGAAGGGAUGAGAAUUUUGCAGGAGGAGCCGGUGAGCAGCUUGAUGGUGCGGUUCUGGCCGAAGCGCUGCCCGUCCACCUUGAAGAAGACCGGGCCGUCAUUGGGCUGGAUGCGCAGCGCGAUGGAGAGGCGCACCAGGCCGGGCAGGUCCCCCAUGGCUGGGCACAGCAGUCCUACAGUCUCAAACCAACUUCUACCUGUGUAUUGAUGAAAGUUUUGGACGUGUAGUGAGAUGACUUCAGUUUGAAUUCUGGCUCAGUGUAUUUCAGCUCCAGGCCCAGAAAAGCAGCAAAACCAGAUAAGUGACACUGUGGCAGCCUCUGGACCAGCUUUUACCUCCUAAGUCCCUCAACAGGACUGCUUUUGAGCCUUUACCAGCUAGUCUCUUGGGGACAUCAUGGUGCUGUGACCCCUCGCUCCAACCAUGAGGAAUCUAUACAGUGUUCCAGCUGACUACAAAGUCCAUCCCCCUAUGAUCUCCAUGUCCUCUCCCCCGGAAGUAACUACGGAAGAUAUGUAUGACCUCUGUUCCUAUUCCAUAAAACACAAAGGCUGGAAUGUUAAUUAUGAUCAAAUAAUUGAAUUGAUACCCCCCUCCCCAGGGAACUGACCUUUAGACCACUUCUCAACUGACAUUCCCUUUCGCUUGUUUCCAUUUGCUAAGACCACAUUCCUCUUUUUUUUUUUACUUUUUAAAUAUAUUUUUGUUGAUUUCAGAGAG